rnacentral:rRNA from 1 species
AUUGAACGCUGGCGGCAUGCCUUACACAUGCAAGUCGAGCGGUAACAGGUCCUCGGAUGCUGGCGAGUGGCGAACGGGUGAGUAAAGUAUCGGAACGUGCCCAGUCGUGGGGGAUAACGUAGCGAAAGUUACGCUAAUACCGCAUACGAUCUAUGGAUGAAAGCGGGGGAUCGCAAGACCUCGCGCGAUUGGAGCGGCCGAUAUCAGAUUAGGUAGUUGGUGGGGUAAAGGCUCACCAAGCCGACGAUCUGUAGCUGGUCUGAGAGGACGACCAGCCACACUGGGACUGAGACACGGCCCAGACUCCUACGGGAGGCAGCAGUGGGGAAUUUUGGGCAAUGGGCGAAAGCCUGAUCCAGCCAUGCCGCGUGCAGGAUGAAGGCCUUCGGGUUGUAAACUGCUUUUGUACGGAACGAAAAGGUUUGGCCUAAUAAGCUGAGCUCAUGACGGUACCGUAAGAAUAAGCACCGGCUAACUACGUGCCAGCCGCCGCGGUAA